rnacentral:rRNA from 1 species
CGGAUGGGAGCUUGCUCCCUGAUGUCAGCGGCGGACGGGUGAGUAACACGUGGGCAACCUGCCUGUAAGACUGGGAUAACUUCGGGAAACCGGAGCUAAUACCGGAUAAUUCUUUCCCUCACAUGAGGGAAAGCUGAAAGAUGGUUUCGGCUAUCACUUACAGAUGGGCCCGCGGCGCAUUAGCUAGUUGGUGAGGUAACGGCUCACCAAGGCAACGAUGCGUAGCCGACCUGAGAGGGUGAUCGGCCACACUGGGACUGAGACACGGCCCAGACUCCUACGGGAGGCAGCAGUAGGGAAUCUUCCGCAAUGGACGAAAGUCUGACGGAGCAACGCCGCGUGAGUGAUGAAGGUUUUCGGAUCGUAAAACUCUGUUGUUAGGGAAGAACAAGUACCGGAGUAACUGCCGGUACCUUGACGGUACCUAACCAGAAAGCCACGGCUAACUACGUGCCAGCAGCCGCGGUAAUACGUAGGUGGCAAGCGUUGUCCGGAAUUAUUGGGCGUAAAGCGCGCGCAGGCGGUUCCUUAAGUCUGAUGUGAAAGCCCACGGCUCAACCGUGGAGGGUCAUUGGAAACUGGGGAACUUGAGUGCAGAAGAGAAGAGUGGAAUUCCACGUGGUAGCGGUGAAAUGCGUAGAGAAUGUGGAGGAACACCAGUGGCGAAGGCGACUCUUUGGUCUGUAACUGACGCUGAGGCGCGAAAGCGUGGGGAGCAAACAGGAUUAGAUACCCCUGGUAGUCCACGCCGUAAACGAUGAGUGCUAAGUGGUUAGAGGGUUUCC